GAUGAACGCUGGCGGUGUGCCUAAUACAUGCAAGUCGAGCGAACAGACGAGGAGCUUACUCCUCUGACGUUAGCGGCGGACGGGUGAGUAACACGUGGAUAACCUACCUAUAAGACGGGGAUAACUUCGGGAAACCGGAGCUAAUACCGGAUAACAUGUUGAACCGCAUGGUUCAACAGUGAAAGACGGUCUUGCUGUCACUUAUAGAUGGAUCCGCGUCGCAUUAGAUAGUUGGUAAGGUAACGGCUUACCAAGGCAACGAUGCGUAGCCGACCUGAGAGGCUGAUCGGCCACACUAGAACUGAGACACGGUCCAGACUCCUACGGGAGGCAGCAGUAGGGAAUCUUAGGCAAUGGGCGAAAGCAUGACGGAGCAACGCCGCGUGAGUGAAGAAGGUCUUCGGAUCGUAAAACUCUGUUAUUAGGGAAGAACAAAUGUGUAAGUAACUAUGCCCGUCUUGACGGUAACUAAUCAGAAAGCCACGGCUAACUACGUG
rnacentral:rRNA from 1 species